UACGUAGGUGACAAGCGUUGUCCGGAUUUACUGGGCGUAAAGAGCGCGCAGGCGGUCGUUCAAGUCGAGUGUGAAAGCCCCCGGCUCAACUGGGGAGGGUCAUUCGAUACUGAUCGACUCGAAGGCAGGAGAGGGAAGUAGAAUUCCCGGUGUAGUGGUGAAAUGCGUAGAUAUCGGGAGGAACACCAGUGGCGAAGGCGACUUCCUGGCCUGUUCUUGACGCUGAGGCGCGAAAGCUAGGGGAGCAAACGGG
rnacentral:rRNA from 1 species